AGUAAAUGCAAAGUGGGGGCAGGCGGUGUACCUUCCGUUGAUAAAGUGAGGGCACAAAUGAAAGCACUUUAUUUUGAGGGGAGUUCCCUCGCUUCCUUUUAACCAGUUACUUUUUGGUUUCCUCAUUAUUAUAUGCCUUCUGUCUUCCACCACCAUUAACCUCUUGCGACCUUCUCCAGCUUCUUACUUAAUAACAUCCAACUUCUCCCUGAACUCCAUGGCCAACAAACCUUGUACCCCGUGAGAGAGAGAGAGAGGGGUCUGCACGCCUCUGCCAGGUCAUAAUACUAGUUUCUCUGUGUAUAUAUCAGACAACAAUACCAAUAUAGAUGAUUCAGAUGGUACUUGCUAUUAGGCAAAAGACGGAAUAUGUAGUGCCUGAUAUUUGCAGUUUGCUUCUGAUUGAGCGGGUAUCACAAUAGCAAGAAUAAGCUCCACAGCCAAUUUAAACAAAUUACCAUUUCUGCUGAUCUUGUCAUUGGAGGCUUCAUGCUGAUCUGACAAGUUCUGAGCCAAAAUCGAAAAUGGCGCUCUUGGCUGCUGUUUUAUUGUCGCUUCAUAUUGCUUAUGGGAUCUGUUUC